rnacentral:rRNA from 1 species
GUUAGGAAUAUUCGUCAAUGGGGGAAACCCUGAACGAGCAAUGCCGCGUGAACGAUGAAGGCCCUAUGGGUUGUAAAGUUCUGUUGCAUGGGACGAACGAUUAGGAUAGGAAAUGAUCUUAAUGUGACGGUACCAUGCCAGAAAGCUCCGGCUAACUACGUGCCAGCAGCCGCGGUAAUACGUAGGGAGCAAGCGUUAUCCGGAUUUAUUGGGCGUAAAGGGUGCGUAGGCGGUUUGUUAAGUAUGAGAUUAAAGCCCGAGGCUUAACCUCGGUUCGUUUCAUAAACUGGCAGGCUUGAGUGUGGCAGAGGUAAACGGAAUUUCUAGUGUAGCGGUUAAAUGCGUAGAUAUUAGAAGGAACACCAGUGGCGAAGGCGGUUUACUGGGCCAUAACUGACGCUGAGGCACGAAAGCGUGGGGAGCAAAUAGGAUUAGAUACCCUAGUAGUCC